GACGAACGCUGGCGGCGUGCUUAACACAUGCAAGUCGAACGAUGAACCCGGAGCUUGCUCUGGGGGAUUAGUGGCGAACGGGUGAGUAACACGUGAGUAACCUGCCCUGGACUCUGGGAUAAGCGUUGGAAACGACGUCUAAUACCGGAUAGGACCUUGGAUCGCAUGAUCUGGGGUGGAAAGUUUUUUCGGUCUGGGAUGGACACGCGGCCUAUCAGCUUGUUGGUGAGGUAAUGGCUCACCAAGGCGUCGACGGGUAGCCGGCCUGAGAGGGUGACCGGCCACACUGGGACUGAGACACGGCCCAGACUCCUACGGGAGGCAGCAGUGGGGAAUAUUGCACAAUGGGCGAAAGCCUGAUGCAGCAACGCCGCGUGCGGGAUGACGGCCUUCGGGUUGUAAACCGCUUUUAGUAGGGAAGAAGGGCUUCGGCUUGACGGUACCUGCAGAAAAAGGACCGGCUAACUACGUG
rnacentral:rRNA from 1 species